rnacentral:rRNA from 1 species
UGCGGGGGGGGUAAGCGUUGUUCGGAAUUACUGGGCGUAAAGGGCUCGUAGGCGGCCAACUAAGUCAGACGUGAAAUCCCUCAGCUUAACUGGGGAACUGCGUCUGAUACUGGAUGGCUUGGAUUCGGGAGAGGAAUGCGGAAUUCCAGGUGUAGCGGUGAAAUGCGUAGAUAUCUGGAGGAACACCGGUGGCGAAGGCGGCUCUCUGGGCCUUACCUGACGCUGAGGAGCGAAAGCUGGGGGAGCGAACAGG